AGAGUUUGAUCAUGGCUCAGGGUGAACGCUGGCGGCGUGCUAACACAUGCAAGUCGAGCGGGUACCCGCAAGGGUACCAGCGGCGCACGGGUGAGUAACACGUGGGUAAUCUACCCCUCGGAGGGGGAUAACCGGGGGAAACUCCGGCUAAUACCCCAUACGAUCCAACAACACAAGUUGUUGGAUGAAAGGAGCGUUUGCUCCGCCGAGGGAUGAGCCCGCGGCCCAUCAGGUAGUUGGUGGGGUAAUGGCCCACCAAGCCUACGACGGGUAGCCGGCCUGAGAGGGUGGUCGGCCACAAGGGCACUGAGACACGGGCCCUACUCCUACGGGAGGCAGCAGUGGGGAAUCUUGGACAAUGGGCGAAAGCCUGAUCCAGCGACGCCGCGUGGGGGAUGAAGCCCUUCGGGGUGUAAACCCCUGUUGCGAGGGAGGAAUAAGGCCUGGAGGAAAUGCCAGGCCGAUGACUGUACCUCGCGAGGAAGCCCCGGCUAACUACGUGCCAGCAGCCGCGGUAAUACGUAGGGGGCGAGCGUUACCCGGAUUCACUGGGCGUAAAGCGGGUGUAGGCGGCUCGGUAAGUCGGGUGUGAAAUCCCACAGCUCAACUGUGGAAUUGCGCCCGAAACUGCUGAGCUUGGGGCCGGUAGAGGGAGACGGAACUGCCGGUGUAGGGGUGAAAUCCGUAGAUAUCGGCAGGAACGCCGGUGGGGAAGCCGGUCUCCUGGGCCGCGCCCGACGCUGAGACCCGAAAGCUAGGGGAGCAAACCGGAUUAGAUACCCGGGUAGUCCUAGCCGUAAACGAUGCCCACUAGGUGUGGGGGAUUAAUUCCUCCGUGCUGUAGCUAACGCGUUAAGUGGGCCGCCUGGGGAGUACGCCCGCAAGGGUGAAACUCAAAGGAAUUGACGG
rnacentral:rRNA from 1 species